ACGGGGAGCAGCAGGCGCGAAAACUUCGCAAUGUGGGCAACCACGACGAGGGGACUCCAAGUGCUCAAGCUUAGCUUGGGCUGUUUUCGUGCCUAAAAAGCACGGAGAGUAAGGGCUGGGUAAGACGGGUGCCAGCCGCCGCGGUAAUACCCGCAGCCCGAGUGGUGAUCAUUAUUAUUGGGCCUAAAACGUCCGUAGCCGGCCCGGUAAAUUCUUGGGGAAAUCGGUGUGCUUAACGCAUCGAAGUCCGAGGAGACUGCCGGGCUUGGGACUGGGUGAGGUCAGAGGUACUUCUGGGGUAGGGGUAAAAUCCUGUAAUCCUGGAAGGGCCACCAGUGGCGAAGGCGUCUGACUAGAACGGAUCCGAUGGUAAGGGACGAAGCCCUGGGGCACAAACGGGACUAGAUACCCCGGUAGUCCAGUGGUGUAAACGCUGUGGGCUUGGUGUUGGGAGUCCUACGAGGGCGCCCAGUGCCGGAGAGAAGUUGUUAAGCCUACUGCCUGGGGAGUACGCUCGCAAGAGUGAAACUUAAAGGAAUUGGCGGGGGAGCAC
rnacentral:rRNA from 1 species